CUAUACAUGCAAGUCGAGCGGACAGAAGGGAGCUUGCUCCCGGAUGUUAGCGGCGGACGGGUGAGUAACACGUGGGUAACCUGCCUGUAAGACUGGGAUAACUCCGGGAAACCGGAGCUAAUACCGGAUAGUUCCUUGAACCGCAUGGUUCAAGGAUGAAAGACGGUUUCGGCUGUCACUUACAGAUGGACCCGCGGCGCAUUAGCUAGUUGGUGGGGUAAUGGCUCACCAAGGCGACGAUGCGUAGCCGACCUGAGAGGGUGAUCGGCCACACUGGGACUGAGACACGGCCCAGACUCCUACGGGAGGCAGCAGUAGGGAAUCUUCCGCAAUGGACGAAAGUCUGACGGAGCAACGCCGCGUGAGUGAUGAAGGUUUUCGGAUCGUAAAGCUCUGUUGUUAGGGAAGAACAAGUGCGAGAGUAACUGCUCGCACCUUGACGGUACCUAACCAGAAAGCCACGGCUAACUACGUGCCAGCAGCCGCGGUAAUACGUAGGUGGCAAGCGUUGUCCGGAAUUAUUGGGCGUAAAGGGCUCGCAGGCGGUUUCUUAAGUCUGAUGUGAAAGCCCCCGGCUCAACCGGGGAGGGUCAUUGGAAACUGGGAAACUUGAGUGCAGAAGAGGAGAGUGGAAUUCCACGUGUAGCGGUGAAAUGCGUAGAGAUGUGGAGGAACACCAGUGGCGAAGGCGACUCUCUGGUCUGUAACUGACGCUGAGGAGCGAAAGCGUGGGGAGCGAACAGGAUUAGAUACCCUGGUAGUCCACGCCGUAAACGAUGAGUGCUAAGUGUUAGGGGGUUUCCGCCCCUUAGUGCUGCAGCUAACGCAUUAAGCACUCCGCCUGGGGAGUACGGUCGCAAGACUGAAACUCAAAGGAAUUGACGGGGGCCCGCACAAGCGGUGGNGCAUGUGGUUUAAUUCGAAGCAACGCGAAGAACCUUACCAGGUCUUGACAUCCUCUGACAACCCUAGAGAUAGGGCUUUCCCUUCGGGGACAGAGUGACA
rnacentral:rRNA from 1 species